GACGAACGCUGGCGGCGUGCUUAACACAUGCAAGUCGAACGCUGAAGCCCUUCGGGGUGGAUGAGUGGCGAACGGGUGAGUAACACGUGGGUAAUCUGCCCUGCACUCUGGGAUAAGCCUUGGAAACGGGGUCUAAUACCGGAUAGGACACAUCGCCGCAUGGUGUGUGUGUGGAAAGUUCCAGCGGUGCAGGUUGAGCCCGCGGCCUAUCAGCUUGUUGGUGGGGUGAUGGCCUACCAAGGCGACGACGGGUAGCCGGCCUGAGAGGGUGACCGGCCACACUGGGACUGAGACACGGCCCAGACUCCUACGGGAGGCAGCAGUGGGGAAUCUUGCGCAAUGGGCGAAAGCCUGACGCAGCAACGCCGCGUGGGGGAUGACGGCCUUCGGGGUGUAAACCUCUUUCGACCGGGACGAAGGAUUCGUUUGACGGUACCGGUAGAAGAAGCACCGGCUAACUACGUGCCAGCCGCCGCUGUAA
rnacentral:rRNA from 1 species